rnacentral:rRNA from 1 species
AGAAUGAACGCUGGCGGCGUGCCUUACACAUGCAAGUCGAGCGAGGCGCGGUAGCAAUACCGCAGUCGAGCGGCGAACGGGUGAGUAACACGUGGGUGACCUGCCUCUAGGUGGGGGGAUAACCCGGGGAAACUCGGGCUAAUACCGCAUAACAUCGUGAGAUCAAAGGAGGGGCGCAAGCCUCUCGCCGAGAGAGGGGCCCGCGUCUGAUUAGCUAGUUGGUGAGGUAACGGCUCACCAAGGCGACGAUCAGUAGCCGGCCUGAGAGGGCGAGUCGGCCACGACUGGAACUGAGACACGGUCCAGGACUCCUACGGGAGGCAGCAGUGGGGAAUUUGCGCAAGUGGGGGAAACCUGACGCAGCAACGCCGCGUGAGGAUGAAGGUCCGUUGGAUUGUAAACUCCUGUCAGCAGGAAGAAGG